GACGAACGCUGGCGGCGUGCUUAACACAUGCAAGUCGAACGGUAAGGCCCUUCGGGGUACACGAGUGGCGAACGGGUGAGUAACACGUGGGUGAUCUGCCCUGCACUUCGGGAUAAGCCUGGGAAACUGGGUCUAAUACCGGAUAGGACCACUGCCUGCAUGGGUGGUGGUGGAAAGCUUUUGCGGUGUGGGAUGGGCCCGCGGCCUAUCAGCUUGUUGGUGGGGUGAUGGCCUACCAAGGCGACGACGGGUAGCCGGCCUGAGAGGGGGACCGGCCACACUCGGACUGAGAUACGGCCCAGACGCCUACGGGAGGCGGCAGUGGGGAAUAUUGCACAAUGGGCGCAAGCCUGAUGCAGCGACGCCGCGUGAGGGAUGACGGCCUUCGGGUUGUAAACCUCUUUCAGCACCGACGAAGCGCAAGUGACGGUAGGUGCAGAAGAAGGACCGGCCAACUACGUGCCAGCCGCCGCCGUAA
rnacentral:rRNA from 1 species